rnacentral:rRNA from 1 species
UUAAUAUUUUAUUUAUUUUUGUUAUUUCUUAUAGUUUUAUUAAAGUAAUAUAUAUAAUUAGUAUAGUUUAUAGAAAAUUUUUAUUUGAAUUAUAGUUUAGUGUACUGUGAAGGAUUAUUAAAUUAUUUUUAAAAAGUAUAAGUUUUUUUAUUACCUUUUGUAUCAGGGUUCAUUAAUUAAAUAAUAAAUAUAUAUUAUUUCCCGAAAGUAAAAGAGUUAACUAUGAAUGAUUGUUUUUGUGACAAAAUGAUUUUUAAUUUAUAGUUAGGGGUUAUAUGCUAUUCAAUUUUAUAUAUCUGGUUUCUUAAUAAAUGAAUUUAAUUCAUAAUUAUUAAAGUUAAUUAUUAAUUUUAUUGUAGUUAAUUUAAUAAUUUUAUAUUAUGAGGGAUUAGCUUUGUAAUAUUUUUAUAAAGUAUUUAAUAAUAUUUGUUGUAGGCUUGAUAAUAGCCAUCUGUUUAAUUUUGUUAUAAUUUAUUUUGAUAAGUAUUUUAUUUAUUUUUAUUUUUAAUUUUUUAUUAAGAUUAUUUUGUUAAUUUAAUUUAAUAUGUAAUAAUGAUGGAAUUAGUAGGGUUUAUAAAUUAAAUAUAGUAACUCGGCAAAUGUUGUUUUCGCCUGUUUAACAAAAACAUGUCCUAUAGAAUUAAUUUUAGGUCUAAUCUGCUCAAUGAUUAUUUAAAUUAAAUGGCCGCAGUAUUUUGACUGUGCAAAGGUAGCAUAAUCAUUUGUCUUUUAAUUGAGGGCUUGUAUGAAUGAUUGGACGAAAAAUAGACUUUCUUUGUUUAAUUUAUUUGAAUUUAAUUUCUUAGUUAAAAAGCUGAGAUAUUUUUGUAAGACGAGAAGACCCUAUAGAAUUUUAUUUUUUUUAAUUUACUCUUUUUUCUUUUUGCUUAGAUUAAGUUAAAAAAAAUUUGGUUGGGGUGACUGUGAAAUUUCAUUAACUUUCAUUUAUUUUUAUCAAUAAUUAUUGUGUUUCUGAUCCUUUAUUAAAGAUUAAAAGAUUAAAUUACCUUAGGGAUAACAGCGUAAUUUCUUUGGAGAGUUCUUAUUGAUGAAGGAGUUUGCGACCUCGAUGUUGGAUUAAAGUAAGAUUUUGGUGUAGGUGCUAAAUUUUCUAGGUCUGUUCGACCUUUAAAUCUUUACAUGAUCUGAGUUCAGACCGGCGUGAGCCAGGUUGGUUUCUAUCUACAAUUAAUUUUAAUACUUUAGUACGAAAGGACCAAGUAUUAAUAAUAUUUAUUAUUCAUUUGAUUAUUAUUA